ensembl:lncRNA
AGCCACGCCUUCUUCUCUUCGCUUAUGUGAUACUUUUCACAACUUUGAGGAACAAAAGACUGCAAUUGUACAGGAUUCUGCUGAUAGACGAAGAAGAGGAGGAGAAUAAUAAAAGAGAGAUGAAGAAUCGUCUGAUUCAUCCCCCUCAGGGGAAUCAGUGUGCUUGCAGUGGUGAAUGUCUUCCUCAUUAGGCCGUACCCCCGACCCCACCCAGUGGUGAAUGUCUGUAUUACGGAGGGGAUGAUUUUAAAGAUGGAGUCCUGUGUAGAGCAGUGGAGGCUGCUGAGGGGAGGACGGCUCAUAAUAAUGGCUGGAGAGAGCCUGCUCCUGGAGAGAGACCCUCCUGUAGGUUUUAACUCCAACCUCCAACCCUGUUCCUGGAGGGACACCCUCCUGUAAGGUUAUAACUCCAACCCUGUUCCUGGAGAGACCCUCCUGUAGGUUUUAACUCCAACCCUGUUCCUGGAGAGAGACCCUCCUGUAGGUAACUCCAACCCUGUUCCUGGAGAGAGACCCUCCUGUAGGUUUUAACUCCAACCCUGUUCCUGGAGAGAGACCCUCCUGUAGGUAACUCCAACCCUGUUCCUGGAGAGAGACCCUCCUGUAGGUAACUCCAACCCUGUUCCUGGAGAGAAACCCUCCUGUAGGUUUAUACUCCAACCCUGUUCCUGGAGAGAGACC